CCCGCCACUGUGCAGGUCUGUAAAAGUGACUUUGUACUGCCAAAGGAAGGCUAAUAGUGACCCAGCUCUAGGAAACAGGGCUACCUAACUUAAUGGGUGACUCUGUGCCGAAAGGUCUGGAACAAGU
ensembl:snoRNA small nucleolar RNA SNORA65